GAUGAACGCUGGCGGCGUGCCUAAUACAUGCAAGUCGAGCGGACAGACGAGGAGCUUGCUCCUCUGACGUUAGCGGCGGACGGGUGAGUAACACGUGGAUAACCUACCUAUAAGACUGGGAUAACUUCGGGAAACCGGAGCUAAUACCGGAUAAUAUAUUGAACCGCAUGGUUCAAUAGUGAAAGACGGUUUUGCUGUCACUUAUAGAUGGAUCCGCGCCGCAUUAGCUAGUUGGUAAGGUAACGACUUACCAAGGCAACGAUGCGUAGCCGACCUGAGAGGGUGAUCGGCCACACUGGAACUGAGACACGGUCCAGACUCCUACGGGAGGCAGCAGUAGGGAAUCUUCCGCAAUGGGCGAAAGCCUGACGGAGCAACGCCGCGUGAGUGAUGAAGGUCUUCGGAUCGUAAAACUCUGUUAUUAGGGAAGAACAAAUGUGUAAGUAACUAUGCACGUCUUGACGGUACCUAAUCAGAAAGCCACGGCUAACUACGUG
rnacentral:rRNA from 1 species